ensembl:miRNA
UGGAUAUAUUUCUACUCUUGAUUAAAGUUUUGUAAGAAACAAUACAGGAUUUGGGGUGGGGGAUGGGGAGGGAGGAUAUU